CACUCCUUUUAGCUGUGAGUUACUAAAAUAGGAAGAAUACAGAGGUUAGCAUGGGGUCUGCACAAGGGUGGUGUGAAAGUUCACAAAGCACUCCAUUUUUUU